CUAAUAGCGUAUAUUAAAGUUGCUGCAGUUAAAAAGCUCGUAGUUGAAUUUCGGGACCAUCAUGUCGGUCGUGCCUCGGUACGUACUGGUAUUGUUGGUUUCUCCCUUCUGACGAACCAUGAUGUCAUUUAUUUGGUGUUGUGGGGAAUCAGGACUGUUACUUUGAAAAAAUUAGAGUGUUUAAAGCAGGCUCACGCUUGAAUACAUUAGCAUGGAAUAAUGAAAUAGGACGUUUGAUUCUAUUUUGUUGGUUUCUAGGAUCGACGUAAUGAUUAAUAGGGAUAGUUGGGGGCAUUAGUAUUCAAUUGUCAGAGGUGAAAUUCUUGGAUUUAUUGAAGACUAACUACUGCGAAAGCAUUUGCCAAGGAUGUUUUCAUUAAUCAAGAACGAAAGUUAGGGGAUCGAAGACGAUCAGAUACCGUCGUAGUCUUAACCAUAAACUAUGCCGACUAGGGAUCGGAUGAUGUUAAUUUUUUAAUGACUCAUUCGGCGCCUUACG
rnacentral:rRNA from 1 species